rnacentral:rRNA from 1 species
UACGUAGGGUGCAAGCGUUGUCCGGAAUUAUUGGGCGUAAAGAGCUCGUAGGCGGUUUGUUGCGUCGGCUGUGAAAACCUGAGGCUCAACCUCAGGCCUGCAGUCGAUACGAGCAAACUAGAGUGUUGCAGGGGAGACUGGAAUUCCUGGUGUAGCGGUGAAAUGCGCAGAUAUCAGGAGGAACACCCGGUGGCGAAAGGGCGG